ensembl:lncRNA
ACCUGAUCCCUCUCAGCAGUAGCUUGGGCUUUAAAACCGGGAAACCUGGAGGAAUCACAGACACUGGGCUGGUUUUACUGGUCUCCCCACACUGUACAGAAAGCCAGGCCUCUCCUUGCACAGCUGGUUUCCUUGGUGGUGUGAGUCACUUCUGUUAUGUUGCUCCGUUCAUCCAUAUUAUGUAGGUUUUUACUAGCUGCCUUCUCAGAGUAUGUCCUGGCCUCCCAUAACAGAGUAUCUGCAGCUGCAGCUGUGGUCUUUGGCCUCCGGCUUGUGUGAGAGAACACGAGACUUCCUGUGCCUCCCGCUUUGCAUGUGGUGUGUGGCAGCCAGCCAGCCUCCAUUCUAGCACCUUCUAAGGGCACAGGCUUAAAUCUUGCCCAAACCUGGACAAGCUGAUGUUCAGGUCAGAACCGGCUGAGGUUCAGAAAUGGCAGGAUCCUGUGAGCAACCUAAGAAGAUUAGCUCACAGAUGCUGGGAUCCCAGGCUGGAGACAGUUUCUUCACCCAUCCUCCUUCCUCAAUCUUCUCAGCUGGUUCCCUUUGGCCUGACUCAGAGACUGACCUCGAGUGACCUCACUCAUCUUGUCCACAGGGACCCCGGAUGUUCUUAGAGCCACAGACUCUUAGGGCUGGAAGGAAGUUUGAAUCCAACUUCUCUGUGUUGUAG